rnacentral:rRNA from 1 species
UACGGAGGGUGCAAGCGUUAUCCGGAUUCACUGGGUUUAAAGGGUGCGUAGGCGGGCAGGUAAGUCAGUGGUGAAAUCUCCGAGCUUAACUUGGAAACUGCCAUUGAUACUAUCUGUCUUGAAUGUUGUGGAGGUGAGCGGAAUAUGUCAUGUAGCGGUGAAAUGCUUAGAUAUGACAUAGAACACCUAUUGCGAAGGCAGCUCACUACGCAAAUAUUGACGCUGAGGCACGAAAGCGUGGGGAUCAAACAGG